UACCCGUAAUCUUCAUAGUCCGA
rnacentral:miRNA from 1 species